rnacentral:rRNA from 1 species
AGUGAACGCUGGCGGUAGGCCUAACACAUGCAAGUCGAACGGCAGCACAGGAGAGCUUGCUCUCUGGGUGGCGAGUGGCGGACGGGUGAGGAAUACAUCGGAAUCUACUUUUUCGUGGGGGAUAACGUAGGGAAACUUACGCUAAUACCGCAUACGACCUACGGGUGAAAGCGGGGGAUCUUCGGACCUUGCGCGGUUGAAUGAGCCGAUGUCGGAUUAGCUAGUUGGCGGGGUAAAGGCCCACCAAGGCGACGAUCCGUAGCUGGUCUGAGGGGAUGAUCAGCCACACUGGAACUGAGACACGGUCCAGACUCCUACGGGAGGCAGCAGUGGGGAAUAUUGGACAAUGGGCGCAAGCCUGAUUCAGCCAUACCGCGUGGGUGAAGAAGGCCUUCGGGUUGUAAAGCCCUUUUGUUGGGAAAGAAAUCCAGCUGGUUAAUACCCGGUUGGGAUGACGGUACCCAAAGAAUAAGCACCGGCUAACUUCGUGCCAGCCGCCGCAGUAA